CAUCCUCUGACCGCAUAUGAAAGUAUGUUUUCUGGCUUCGGUCAGACAGAGAGACAGGUGGUGCAUGGUUGUCGUCAGCUCGUGUCGUGAGAUGUUGGGUUAAGUCCCGCAACGAGCGCAACCCCUACGUUUAGUUGCUAACGUGUAACGAUGAGCACUCUAGGCGGACUGCCGUUGACAAAACGGAGGAAGGUGGGGAUGACGUCAAAUCAUCAUGCCCCUUAUGUUCUGGGCUACACACGUGCUACAAUGGCCGGUACAAAGAGACGCAAAGCCGCGAGGUGGAGCAAAUCCGAUAAAAGCCGGUCUCAGUUCGGAUUGCAGGCUGCAAUUCGCCUGCAUGAAGUCGGAAUCGCUAGUAAUCGCAGGUCAGCAUACUGCGGUGAAUACGUUCCCGGGCCUU
rnacentral:rRNA from 1 species